AGAGUUUGAUCAUGGCUCAGAUUGAACGCUGGCGGCAUGCCUUACACAUGCAAGUCGAACGCGAAAGGGGGCAACCCCGAGUAGAGUGGCGAACGGGUGAGCAAUACAUCGGAACACGUCCUGUAGCGGGGGACAACCCCGAGAAAUCGGGGCUAAUACCGCAUACGAUCUACGGAUGAAAGUGGGGGACCGCAAGGCCCCACACUAUAGGAGUGGCCGAUGCCGGAUUAGCUAGUUGGUGGGGUAAAAGCCUACCAAGGCGACGAUCCGUAGCUGGUUUGAGAGAACGACCAGCCACACUGGGACUGAGACACGGCCCAGACUCCUACGGGAGGCAGCAGUGGGGAAUUUUGGACAAUGGGCGAAAGCCUGAUCCAGCCAUGCCGCGUGAGUGAAGAAGGCCUUCGGGUUGUAAAGCUCUUUCGGCGGGGACGAAAUAGCGCGGGGUAAUAUCCCGCGUCGAUGACGGUACCCGAAGAAGAAGGACCGGCUAACUACGUGCCAGCAGCCGCGGUAAUACGUAGGGUCCAAGCGUUAAUCGGAAUUACUGGGCGUAAAGCGUGAGUAGGCGGUUUCGCAAGUCCGAUGUGAAAUCCCCGGGCUUAACCUGGGAACUGCGUUGGAAACUACGAAGCUAGAGUGCGGCAGAGGGGGGUGGAAUUCCAGGUGUAGCAGUGAAAUGCGUAGAGAUCUGGAGGAACACCGAUGGCGAAGGCAGCCCCCUGGGUUAGCACUGACGCUCAUACACGAAAGCGUGGGGAGCAAACAGGAUUAGAUACCCUAGUAGUCC
rnacentral:rRNA from 1 species